AUUGAACGCUGGCGGCAUGCUUUACACAUGCAAGUCGAACGGUAACAGGGAGCUUGCUCCGCUGACGAGUGGCGAACGGGUGAGUAAUGCGUCGGAACGUGCCGAGUAGUGGGGGAUAACGCAGCGAAAGUUGUGCUAAUACCGCAUACGUACUGAGGUAGAAAGUGGGGGACCUUCGGGCCUCACGCUAUUCGAGCGGCCGACGUCUGAUUAGCUAGUAGGUGAGGUAAAGGCUCACCUAGGCGACGAUCAGUAGCGGGUCUGAGAGGAUGAUCCGCCACACUGGGACUGAGACACGGCCCAGACUCCUACGGGAGGCAGCAGUGGGGAAUUUUGGACAAUGGGCGAAAGCCUGAUCCAGCCAUGCCGCGUGUCUGAAGAAGGCCUUCGGGUUGUAAAGGACUUUUGUCAGGGAGGAAAUCCCUAGUGCUAAUAACACUGGGGGAUGACAGUACCUGAAGAAUAAGCACCGGCUAACUACGUGCCAGCCGCCGCGGUAA
rnacentral:rRNA from 1 species